rnacentral:rRNA from 1 species
AUGAACGCUGGCGGCGUGCCUCAUACAUGCCAGUCGAGCGAACGGACGAGAAGCUUGCUUCUCUGAUGUUAGCGGCGGACGGGUAAGUAACACGUGGAUAACCUACCUAUAAGACUGGGAUAACUUCGGGAAACCGGAGCUAAUACCGGAUAAUAUUUUGAACCGCAUGGUUCAAAAGUGAAAGACGGUCUUGCUGUCACUUAUAGAUGGAUCCGCGCUGCAUUAGCUAGUUGGUAAGGUAACGGCUUACCAAGGCAACGAUGCAUAGCCGACCUGAGAGGGUGAUCGGCCACACUGGAACUGAGACACGGUCCAGACUCCUACGGGAGGCAGCAGUAGGGAAUCUUCCGCAAUGGGCGAAAGCCUGACGGAGCAACGCCGCGUGAGUGAUGAAGGUCUUCGGAUCGUAAAACUCUGUUAUUAGGGAAGAACAUAUGUGUAAGUAACUGUGCACAUCUUGACGGCACCUAAUCAGAAAGCCACGGCUAACUACGUG